rnacentral:piRNA from 1 species
UNGCAGUGCUCUCUGGUUUGAUUGC